UACGUAGGGUGCAAGCGUUAAUCGGAAUUACUGGGCGUAAAGCGUGCGCAGGCGGUUUUGUAAGUCUGACGUGAAAUCCCCGGGCUUAACCUGGGAAUUGCGUUGGAGACUGCAAGGCUGGAGUCUGGCAGAGGGGGGUAGAAUUCCACGUGUAGCAGUGAAAUGCGUAGAGAUGUGGAGGAACACCGAUGGCGAAGGCAGCCCCCUGGGUCAAGACUGACGCUCAUGCACGAAAGGCGUGGGGAGCAAA
rnacentral:rRNA from 1 species